CAUCUCUCUCUCUCUCUCUAUAUAUAUAUAUAUAUGUAUAAAGCUAGGCAUGGAAAAGGUGAUGUAGCACUUCUCUAUGCCCAGCAAUUGUAUUUUUCUUUUUUCUCCUUUUUUUUUUUUGAAUUUUUCCUCCAUUCCUCUAGUUCACUCUAUUUUAAUUUGUUAAUAUUUACCUUCUCCUUAAAGUCUUCCUUUUAGUAACUGCUGAGAAAUCAUUGAAAGAGGUACCUAAGCGUUUCUGAUAAAGUGAAACGGAUUCGUGAUACUAAAAAUGCAUCUAUAUCUAUAUAUAAAUAUAAAGUAGGGACAUAAGUCUGCCUGCGUGUCACCUUUCAUUACCCAAGAAUCUCAAUUAUCUCCAUUCUCCUUUUUUCCGGAUUUUUCCUUUUAAGUGCUCUAUCAAAAUUCUAAAGUUACCUUUUAUAAUAACAAUCCUAAUAAUUGUGGCUCUUCACACGUCGCUUCACUUCCUCUUCCGUUACAGCACCUCCUUCGACCGUUUCUUCCUCUUCUUUCGUCAGUUAAAUAUCCAUCUCUCCCUUCGUUCUCUCCGUCGGAUAACUGUUUAUAGGUUGGUUUCAAAUAAUGGUGCUCUGGAAGAACCAAACUUAAUUCUUUUUAUAACCUAUAAUGAGAUAUGCUCAAGUGAGAAUAAACAGGCUUUUGAAGGUGCCGGGAGUUUCAAGUGAUGAAGGCAAAAAAUUGAUGAAUUACAUUCUUAGUUUAAUCUCUUUUGCUGGUAUUGUGACUAUUGUUUCGAAUUUAUUUUGAACAGGAAAGAUCUCUUCGGAUAAAGUAUGGUGAAGUUAAAGAAAACUGGAAUUGCCAAUUCGAGAACAACUGUUACACAUGCACUAUUUCACCGAAUUUUUUUCUUUUUAUUGUUGUGAUGUUGUGCUUUUACUCACUGUGCCACUAAGUUUUUUUCAAGAAAAUUUUUCGUAUUUCUUGUGAUGUGUGUUUAAAUUUCUUGAUUGUUGCUUGAGUUUAGGAUUAUUUUUCAGCAUCUGCAAGUACUACUCUCUUUCAAAUCAUAUUCUAGCUAAUGUGUUUGUAGUGAACCAUCAGUCGAUAAUGUCUAAGGUGUAUGUGCAUCUUCAUCACUAUUUCUUAAGGUCAUAAUUUUUCUUCCAUGACAACAUAUCUUAAAGCUAUUAGAUAACUACUGAAGCAUAUCAAAUUGUGAACGUUGAUCGGUACGGAGAAUAUGGCAUUUUUGCAGGUUGAGAGUUAUGGUUGUUGCUGAAUUAUAUUAAAGCCAAACAAGCAACACUACUGAAAUGUGAAAGAGAAGGAAAUAAUGGGUGGUAGAAGCAGAAUUCCUCGAAGCUUUCAUUAGUGCAAUACCUAUGUUUCAAAUUCUUAUUUUCUUAAGUUGUUAUUUGCAAUGUUUUUGUUUCUUAAAUAGGAGUAGUAUAAUAUUAUAAGUACUCUAAUUUUCAAUACUUCUUCUAUUUAGUAUAAAGUGUAUGAGUAAGAGUAUUUCUUCAAAAGUUCAGUUUUGAAGGGUUCAAACGAUGUUAUUUCCUUCAAAAGAUACUUGUAUUAGUUUCCUGCUGCAAAAGGCCAUGUUCAAUGUAAACCUUCAGAUAGUAAGAUUGAAAGUCGGUUCAUUUGGACGAA